CAAAAUGAGGGAGGUCAUUUAAGAUCAAACACAGAGCUUAAACAGACUUUCACUAUUACCAAGGCGACCAGAGGAGGUCGAACCUGGGUUGAGUUUUACUAUUUAGCUCACCUGCGCAGCUCGCACGCCAUGUGGUUUUCUUAAUUGGUUCAUUGGUUGCAUCUGGUGCAUUUCACAUAAGAGGGAAACGGACAAUACAUUUGUGUCCUCCACUGUUUGGCAGUUUAUCGUCUCCCAAACACGGUUAAAGACUUUUUGAAGUAAAGAGGAGCAUCUCAUCUGGACCUGAUGUCUAUCAUGGAUAUCUAACUGCAGUACUGUGAGUAUCCCAACUUUAACAUGAAGAUGAACUGCGAACUGUAAGUCAUUAGUUUCUCAUUACUCUUGGGCACAUUGAUGUAUGUUGGCUUCCUGGUGAGUUAACCCGUUAGCUGAAGGUUGAUCUGAUUAGUAAGGAUCUUUUAUUGGUUCAUGGGUUACUUAGGCGUUUGGUUUAUGUUGGUUUUAAUGGUUUAUUAAAAUGGUUACAGGCUCCAAGUUAUUGUUGUAAGCUGUAGUAAUGAGUUGGGUUCUGAUGUCUUCAGUCUUCUUUCCAGCUACUCUCCUGAGCUCUGCAUCUUCAUUACAUGAGUGUUGCUUUACUGAGGAGGGUGUGGUCUGAGUGAGCAGAGGUGCAUACUGGGAUGCAGAGCUGUCUGAAGUCUACAGGUCUGUAGACACGCCCCCUCAGGGGAAACCGAGUGUUUGAGAAACCGUCGUGACGUCAGUUACAUGGACCGGAAUGUUUUUUAAGAUGGAGACAGGGAUGCAGAAGGAGAAACACCAGGGGGAGAUGAGGGGGCUCCUCAUCUCAACGACUUCCGUCUGACACAGAGAACCAUGGAACACUUUCAACAGUCCCCUCCAGGCAUCGUGACUCCUCAGGAACAGUUUCAUUCCAGAGAAGGUCUCAUUUGGGGCCAUUCCAAGAUGGAUCCUGCUCCUCAAGAGCCACCCCACUCCACUGGGUGGUCUUCUGAACAGAUGAUCUCCUUCCUGUCCUCAGGCUGACUAAAGCUGCACCGUUUGCAUCUGUGAAGGCCCAUCAAUCACUAAACCACUGGACUACAAACACAAGACUUCAGAGAUGUUGAAACAGCGUGCAUGGAGACUCCAAGCAUAAUCCAUCACCAAUGUGGGACGCCACUGAAGAAUGUUGUACAUAAUUUACGUCUCUGGAGAUAUUGGUGGUUCUGUUCUGGGUGCCCUGACAGAAGAGCUGGGGGUGGAUGAUGGAAUGGUAUUUGGCAUGAGGUUUUUACCCUGCAUGAGUGUUUGGUCUUUUAUGGCUGCUUUUUAUGGUGUGUGUUUGGGUUUGACAUGAGAUGGAAAAUUUUUGAGCAUCGUUAGGGUUCUACUGUGUGUGUGUGUCCCACUGCACCCGGCACGGGGUUCUACGUGUGUUUCCUUGGUUCUGCGUCCUGCUUGCUUUGACAUUGAUCAUUUUCUUACGGGGGUCUGUAUGAUUGGCUUGGUGUAUUGGAAUGGUCAACUAAGUCAUACCUGCUGGACGGCCACACGUUUACUUGAGGCCUCCAGGAGACAUGAAGAGCCCUGAGCGACACUCCGGAGCGAUAUCCUACACACUGGGCAGGAAGGAGAGUAUCCAAAUCAAGUGUAAAAGGAUGCAAGCGGCGUGUUCAGAUCAGCGACUUCAAACUAGGACUACACCAAUCAGGAUCAAUGGAGGAUGGACACCUAAAGGCAUUCCACAAGGACUCUGAAGUUGGAAAGGGACCUCAAUGGAUGUUCAAGAUGACCUUCAGACCUGUAAUGAGGCGGAUCUUCCUACCUGGCUGGAUUGAUGGAGAGCCCUGUGGAUCUUGUCUUGCUCUCAGUUGCACGUCUUCUCAGGCUGAACUGUAUUUGCUGUACAGGACUAGCUGAACGAUCGGUUCCCUUAAAUCAGAACCAAUCUGGGAACUCCAACUACUGCGCUCUUAAAGCUGAAGUUGUGCUCUUCAGCUGAGGAGGCAAGGAAACCUUCACUGGGGCUACAAUGUGUAUAGAGGAGACCGUUUCGAAGUGUUCCAUGGUACUCUGAUGAAGACCGUUGAUGUGUUUCACUGGCUGAGAGGAAGAACCCUCACAUCCUCCUCUUGGCCUUUCUCCUCUGAGAAUCCUGGUGCCAUCUUGAAGAAUAUUCCAGCUCAUGUAACUGAUGUCACGACAGAUUCUCAAACACUUGGUUUCUCCUGAGGGGCGUGUCUAUAGAACUGAAGACUUCAGACAGCACUGUAUCCCAGCACUCAUCUCUGCUCACUCAGACCACACCCUCAUGAGUAGGAUGCAACACUAUAGCGAUGGAGAUGUAGAGUUUUAUAAGUAAAGAGGGAGCAGACAACGUUGAUUCGAACCCAACUGCAAUUUAAGUCUUUAAAUCUUUAAACCAUGACGAUGGUUGGAUAGUUCAGGAAUUGGGCUUAAUUUUAUUAUGGGCAGUCCUUUCGCUCAAAUGCCCACUUCUCACUGGACCUGUACAUGUGUUGUUUGGCUGGCAUGAUUUGCUGUUGGUAGUGAGGCGGUCAGGGUGACAUUGCUUGGCUAUGGUCGGCUCUCUGUGAGCUCACUGUUUAGAUUUGAUCUGUAUGGUUUGUACCCUGAAUAUCGAGAUAAUUGUUGUUUUUAUUGUGGUUUUGUAUUGAGUUAUUCCAUUGUUUUUAAGCAAGGAGUUGAGGUUUAAAGUUGUUGUGGAACGUACAUGGUGGUUCGGUUCUUCGUACGGUUUUGAGUGAUUUAACUUGUACACACUGGGUGCAUAAUAAUGUAAAGGUACACUGAAUAGCAGUAAUGACCAACAGCAACAAACAGAUCACAUCAAGGUAAGUCUGUUGGCUGUGUUUUAAUGAAGACCAUCGCUGGACUUCAGGAUCUUCCUCCGUUCAGCUCAAGGUGAGGCGCUGGUUCUGUUUUUUCUUUGGUUGGUUCCGGCCGGAAUGUUCGGAUUCCAGUCGGACGGUUUGUGCUUCCCGCCGUGGAAGGUUCUGAGUGCGCUCGCUUGAUUUAGUCUCAAUGGUUAGCAUAGAACGUUGUAGUCUUGACAACCAUAAGAACCCACGUGGCCGUUAGUUGGACGUGAAUCCCCUGAGGGUAUCUGGCGGAACGUUCUAGAUGUAUUUGCGUAUCUUGUAGAGUUUGUUGCCAACAGAAACUAUUUUUCAGUCAGUUUCCAUUAGGAAUUGUUGCCCCUUAUCUUAAACUACUUACGUUUGAUAUUGAAUACACACUGACGCGUACAUCGUACAAUAUGUUGAUAAUUUCCGACUGUUGCGCCGACUUUAACCACGUUGACGGGACUCUCGCUGCGUUCAAAACAGCGUUCUACUUGCGGGCCCAUUUCUGAUCAUCAGUGAAGGCUGAAGAUCAUUUCAAGGUGGAUGACAAUUUGGCAUUUCUUCGACGGAACCCUGCACCUGAAUAUGGCUGAGUAUAUUUGAUUUAAUAUCGAUACUGCUUAGUGUUCUUUGUUACUUCAGCUUUCGUACGUUCUAAAUAUCUGGUGUCAAUAAUUGCCACAGAAGUAAAACCCUACCCAAUGGAAUGACGUUAAACAACAACUUUGGUGCUUGGUUACCAACUGGAUAAUAACAAAGCUAAAAUAAUGUCUGUCUUUCCCACAUGUUACAGUAGAAGAAACUCUAGAACUGUAUAAGGUUAAAAAGGUAACAUGUUUGUCCCAAGGUGUCUGCCUCCUCACCCAGAGCCAGACCUCCACCUCCUCACCCAGAGCCAGACCUCCACCUCCUCACCCAGAGCCAGACCUCCACCUCCUCACCCUGAGCCAGACCUCCACCUCCUCACCCAGAGCCAGACCUCCACCUCCUCACCCAGAGCCAGACCUCCACCUCCUCACCCAGAGCCAGACCUCCACCUCCUCACCCAGAGCCAGACCUCCACCGCCUCGCCCAGAGCCAGACCUCCACCUCCUGUCAGAAGUCCUCCAGAACUGCUGAAAGGCGAGGCUGAGAGGCUGGGGACCGGAGGCUUGUGGUGCCAGGAUGGACCGGAGACUGAGGCUGGAGACCAGGGGCCUGCAGCACCGGACCAGAGGACCAGGAAUCCAUGGCUGAAGGGGCAGAUGGAGGAGCCGUGCUGAAGAACCUGCCUGAUGGAGAAGCCGUGCUGAAGGCCCUUCCGGGUGAAGGAGCUGAUGGAGGCCCUGCCUGGUGGAGGAACUGAUGGAGGCCCUGCCUGGUGGAGGAUUCCUGUCGUUGGACCAGGACUCUGGCUGAGGAGCGCUGAUGGAGGAGCCAAGACUCUGGAGGACGACAUCACUCUACCAACAAGGAUCCAAGAAUCUGGAUUACUGACGGAGAAGCCAUACAUCUGGAAGGCAAAUCCUGAGGACGACCAGGACUCUACCGUCAAGGAUUCCUCACACACCAGAGCUGAACCUCACCUGAUCCUGUUUGGUCGGGGUCAGACUCACCUGAGCUGAACCCCACCUAAUCCUGCUGGUCCCGUCUCCUCAGUUAAUCUUAGCCUCAUCUUCCAGAAGACCUGCUGAACUCAGCGGUCUGAUCCUGAUGGAUCAAUGACCUCCAGUGGGAGUGAUCUUCUUGACCCCACAUGUACCCGUGUGCUUCCACACGCCUUACCCUCACGUCUGUCACUAACCUCACUACUACACUAAUCUCCUUACCUUCUUCUUCCUUCUCCGUGGUUCGAACCUUUACUCUGAAGGAGUGUCUUCUUGAACCUUUACUCUGAAGGAGUGUCUUCUUGAACCUUUACUCUGAAGGAGUGUCUUCUUGAACCUCACGUCUGUCACUAACCUCACUACUUCACUAAUCUCUACUCCUUACCUUCUUCUUCCUUCUCCGUGGUUCGAACCUUUACUCUGAAGGAGUGUCUUCUUGAACCUUUACACUGAAGGAACGUCUUCCUGCCCUCAGAGGGUUCAGCGUUAGGGUUGAGAGUCAGGGUUUAGAGUCAGGGACAGAGCUGGUCAGGGAGGAUGGUUUUACACAAACCCCUUCAUUUGCUUUUGUGAAUGGUGGUGACAUUUUGAAAUUAUUAAUUUGGGAAAAUGUUUUCCUCUGCUUUCCUUUACAAAAGUAUGUAUUAAACUUCUGUCAAGUGUUUUUGUUUACACUGUAUAUUAAAAU